CCUACGGGUGGCUGCAGUGGGGAAUUUUGGACAAUGGGGGCAACCCUGAUCCAGCCAUUCCGCGUGAGUGAAGAAGGCCUUCGGGUUGUAAAGCUCUUUUGUCCGGAGCGAAACGGGCGGCCCUAAUACGGUCGUCUACUGACGGUACCGGAAGAAUAAGCACCGGCUAACUACGUGCCAGCAGCCGCGGUAAUACGUAGGGUGCGAGCGUUACGCGGAAUGUGCGGAGGUAAAGCGUGCGCAGGGGUGUGAAAUCCCCGGGCUCAACCUGGGAAUGGCAUUUGGGACUGCAAGGCUGGAGUGUGGCAGAGGGGACUAGAAUUCCUGGUGUAGCAGUGAAAUGCGUAGAUAUCAGGAGGAAUACCGAUGGCGAAGGCAGGUCCCUGGGUUAACACUGACGCUCAUGCACGAAAGCGUGGGGAGCAAACAGGAUUAGAUACCCUUGUAGUC
rnacentral:rRNA from 1 species